GAGUUUGAUCCUGGCUCAGAACGUACGCUGGCGGCACGCCUAACACAUGCAAGUCGAACGAAGUAGCAAUACUUAGUGGCAGACGGGUGAGUAACAUGUAGGUAUCUGCCCUUUGGCCUGGAAUAACACGAGGAAACUUGUGCUAAUACCGGAUAAGUCUUUACGGAGAAAGCUUUAUGCACCAUUGGAUGAGCCUGCACUUGAUUAGUUUGUUGGUGGGGUAAUGGCCUACCAAGACUGUGAUCAAUAGCUGAUUUGAGAGGAUGAUCAGCCACAUUGGGACUGAGACACGGCCCAAACUCCUACGGGAGGCAGCAGUGGGGAAUCUUGCACAAUGGAGGAAACUCUGAUGCAGCGAUGCCGCGUGAGUGAAGAAGGCCCUUGGGUUGUAAAGCUCUUUCGUCGGGGAAGAAAAUGACUGUACCCGAAUAAGAAGGUCCGGCUAACUUCGUGCCAGCAGCCGCGGUAAUACGAAGGGACCUAGCGUAGUUCGGAAUUACUGGGCUUAAAGAGUUCGUAGGUGGUUGAAAAAGUUAGUGGUGAAAUCCCAGAGCUUAACUCUGGAACUGCCAUUAAAACUUUUCAGCUAGAGUAUGAUAGAGGAAAGCAGAAUUUCUAGUGUAGAGGUGAAAUUCGUAGAUAUUAGAAAGAAUACCAAUUGCGAAGGCAGCUUUCUGGAUCAUUACUGACACUGAGGAACGAAAGCAUGGGUAGCGAAGAGGAUUAGAUACCCUCGUAGUCCAUGCCGUAAACGAUGUGUGUUAGACGUUGGAAAUUUAUUUUCAGUGUCGCAGGAAACCGAUAAACACACCGCCUGGGGAGUACGACCGCAAGGUUAAAACUCAAAUGAAUUGACGGGGACCCGCACAAGUAGUGGAGCAUGUGGGUUUAAUUCGAAGAUACGCGCAGAACCUUACCACACUUGACAUGUUCGUCGCGACUCUAGAGAUAGAGUUUUNNNUCGNNNGACGAAACACNNNGCUGCAUGNUGUCGUCAGCUCGUGUCGNGA
rnacentral:rRNA from 1 species